ensembl:lncRNA
GUGACUGUGAAAUAACUAACAGCACUUUUUUCCACAAGUGAAGCCAGUAACUUACUAUCCUAACAGAUUAGCUCUAGUUGCUUGUGCUUUACCUCCAUGCGUGAGAUCAGUAUGUGCAGCAGCUUAAGCUGUACAAUGUUUCUGGAUAUAGUUUUUCACCUUUUUGACACUGUUAGUUCCACACGAGGUAGAGGUCUUCUACUGCAGACUAAAAUUACAUUUCUGUCACCUACAAGACACUUGUCUUUAAUGUUACUGUUACUCUCAUAACCAUACAUAACCAUAAAGUGGUGCUGUCAGGGGAAAAUUCCCAAAUAGAAAGCUGCCAAAGUAAAACAGAGACACAGUGAGACAAUAUAAAAAAUCAUAUGUACAAUGGGUGAACUCUCAGGAGAGUCACACAGUGCUCUUCUUUAUUGUAGGUUACACAGCAGACGGAGGCAGUCUCCGCCUAUUCUCAGAAUAUAUUGCUUAACUGACAAAUGCAUAUCUUACUAAACAUUCUGUCCGUACUAUACUAAACGUCUGCUUAAUGUAGUGAAGUAGAUUUUGGGUUAGGAUGUUACAUGAUGUCCCUAAACGCACCACUGACAUCCACACCUUUCAGCCGACAAUUACCUGGCUAUAAGAAACAGCUGCGCUUCACUACUGAGAGAAGGCAUUUGGCAGUCUUGGCAAUCUAAGGUGGCUGCAGCACUAGGCAGUUGAGCUCCACAUAUCUCUUAAGGAAAGCUACUCAGUUGCCCUUAGAGAGUGGUGUGCAUUAGACUGCUGCUGUCUUGCCAGAUGCUGUUUUGUUUGUUAUGCACUACUUUUAUAACGUAUAGUGAUUUGGGAUGUGGUUUUAUGUAGAUCUUUUAUUGAUUGUUUAACGUUUUAUCUUUUCUUUUAUUGUUUUAGUGGAGGUGCGGCCGCUUGUUCAGAGGCUAGGCACAUGAGGUGGAAUCCCCUCCCCGAUGCAUGCGAGUGUACACACCGGGCAUAGGCAGAUUGCACCAUUUAGAGUUUAGUGUGAGUGAGGUUUGCUGUGAAAUCACACGGGUGCACAAUUCUGAAUCUGUCAAACCUUUUGCCAACGAAAGAAGAGGGCACUCCUCAUGAGUGUAGAGACCACGUAGAGAAGGAGUGUAAGCCAAGGGAUGACUUACUAGAUGUGCCACUUGGUGAGGGAAAGGUUUGGUUUGUUGAUGGUUUGAGUUUUACAACAGUAGAGGGACAGACUAAAACAGGUUUUACUGUAGUAGAUAGUGAGAAAGUUAUCUGUGCAGGACAACUAGCAUGUUUCAUAUUUGCUUGAGCAGCAGAGAUGCUAGCUUUAACGGAAGCAUGUAAAGCUGCAGAGAAAUAAGAUGUGACAAUAUACACUGAUAGCCAGUAUGCAUUUGCUACGUUACAUUUCUUUGUGGUGCAGUGGGUGAGACGAGGUGUGACAGCCUCUACAGGGAAACCUGUAGAACACGCCAAACUCUGCAAAAUCUGCUGGAGGCAGAGUUUUUACCCAGUAGGAUUGCCGUUUGUAAAUGUGUAGCACACAUGUGACGGCAAGAUCCAGUUGCAUUAGAGAAUGCUUUUGCAGAUAAGAUCGCGAAAGAGGCAACUUUAGGAGAACAUGGUGUUAACGUUUUAGCAGUGCAACGCCAGCAGACGUUGGCUAUUAUGCGUGAUGCACUGGUAGACAUGCAGGGCCACUCAUCUACUGCAGGGAAACAGUUGUGAUUUACAGUAGGAGCGAGCCUGUAGGAUGGUGUUUGUUAUCUGUGUGAUAAACCAAUACUGCCUUAGAAUUUGUAUAAGACUGCUGCUAUUUUGCGCCAUGGGCUUUGCCAUGUCGCAACAGGAGGGAGAUAAUGAGUAGUUUAUACUUUACAAUUAAAUACCCUUAACAAAAUAAAUAAAUAAAUUUUUGCAGGUCAUGUAUGAUAUGUUCAAGCACAAUUCUCGGCGUAAUUUGAGAUCUAAGAGAGGGAAAUUCCCCAGACCCAGUCACCCAUUUCAAGUUAUUCACAUGGACUAUAGAGCUGUCCAGCUGUAAUAACUAUGAGUAUUGUUUAGCGAUGAUGGUUCACAUUUUGUAAAUGAAGUGAUUGGAUUAAUGGCACAACAUCUAGGGAUAACACUAAAAACGUCAUUGUUCAUAUCACCCACAAAGUGCAGGGUUGGUAGAGAGAACUAAUGGAAUAGUAAUGUUAAGACUUAGGAAGAGACACGCAGGACAUGGUUAAACUGUAUAGAAUUAGUUAAGAUGUACAUGAGGAUUACUCCAACAGAGAAUGGUUUGACUCGUUGAGAUUAUAUAUGUUAGAGUAUUUAGAGUUCUAGUCUUCUGUAGUGAUGAUAGGAGAGCAGAAGAGAGAGCAUAUUAGCAGAUUAGAUGCUUAAAAUGUUUAAAAGUAAAGAAGUCUUGAGAACAAAUGAUCUGCCAGAUGAUUCUGUUUCUCCGCAGGAGCAGAGUCUGAAGUCUGGAGAUUGGAUGUUGACAAGGCCAUGGAGAGGAAGUCCUGGUCCAGUCCACGGUGGGAAGGUCCAUAUCGGAUGCUGCUGACGACGACCACAGCGGUGAAGUUGCUGGAAGGAACGCUUGGAUACAUCAAGCGCACUGCAAGAAGGUGACACACAUCCAGGCCAGCUCGGGGUAAGUGGCAGGAAGACCGGGUACAAAGGGGGGGGAAAGCCUCCAGGGCCCCUCGUCUCAAUCCGGUGAAGAAACCAACUGAGCCACAGGUACUCAUCAGAAUGGCUGGGAAUGUGCUGUGCGCCUUGUGCCUGUUAACUCUGAGUGGGAUGACAGGAGCGCACUGGGACAGAGCAAACCACACCCAGUACCCGCAUGGGGUUUUCAACAACUACUGGUGGCAGUUUGUGAACACAACCGCUCACAUAAAGAACAAGACCAAUGGUUAUGCUUGUGAUGCCACUGUCUACACAUUCUUCUGGACUGUGGCCAUAUAGCAUCACUGAGAGUGAGACAGUUUGUUGGUUGCCGUAGCGACACAUCCAGGAGUAAACGUUCUUGGAACACUGCCAACUUUUCAACUUCUGAACCUGACUGGACGGUUGAUUCACCAGUAGCUGGGAAGGUGAACUGCUCUGGUGCGAUAGACCUGAUAGUCUGACUCCAAGUGUCUGACUUGCUGCAGGACAUUGAACAGCUAAAUGAACGGGAAAUAGGCCAGUUGCCUAUGUGUAUGAAGGGCAAUGGAUUAGUCCAAGUUGGAGAUUUACCAUGAAAUCUGAGCAACGUCACCUAUUCUUUGUGUCCUCUGCAAGAAGGAUGCAAACAGAGAAGCUUUUGUCUACAUUUGCAUCAUGAACACUUCUCUAAGCUGGUUGAGGUUGUGAGCCAAGAAGAUCAAAACAGCUUGAUCCAAUUUCCUUUACAAAGCUUUUCCUGUGGUGACAACAGGACAGGACAAGAGUUGUAAAUGCGGAUAAUUUACCAGUUGACUCUAACCCCCAUAGGAUGCCUAUAGUGAGAAGAUUCGGGGGGUUGAUAGGAGUCAUAAAGAAGGGUGUUGACCAGGCUACAGCUUUGAAGUUAGCUGAGAGCCACAUGGACAAACGAUAAAGUCAACUGAUGUGUUUGAAUGUCUAUGUCUGUAUACAGUUGGAUUGUAGUGACAUUUGAUUUUUGAGAAUGUUGAUUCUUCUUGUUUGACUGUUACAUUCAGUUGUUUACUUGCAGGAAUACAUAAUGAAUCGCACGACAGGAGUAGAUGCACCACAAGGCUGGAUAACUUGGUGAAUGUCUGGUCCUUGGUGGCAUCUUCUUUUGAAAAUAUUAAUUCCUGUUUUUGGACUGUUGACACUGAUUUGCUUACGUAUAGGAUGUAGUUUACUGUGUAUGAGAUCAAUGAGAAGCAGGUUAACUGCUUACAUGUAUUAACUGUGAACUUUUGCAUCGAUAGAAGGUGAAUGAAGAGGAGUUGUGUAUGAAUGAAAUCUACACUGUCACUGUCCAAACAAAGGGUGCAUAAGUUGAAAUUUAAGUAUAUACAAUGACAAAAAGGGGGGAAAUGUUAGGUCUAAUUGUUGAAUGUUGCCAUUGUGUUUCUUAAAUUUGUACAGUCUUAGUUUAAGCAGUAUUAUCAAAGCCAUUCCUUUGAUCCUGACAGUGGAAGGUUAGGGCAUAAUGCUGUCUUUUGGAAAAAUGUCCAUUGCCAGAUCUCUGCUAAUUGGUGGUCAUUGAUGAGCAACAUAUCGAUGCAGCUGUCCUCCACUGUGCAGCACAGUGGUUAGCACUGUUGCCCCCCAGCAAGAAGGUCCUGAGUUCAAUUCCACCAUCUGGCCUCACAUUUCUGUGGUGUGCAGUCUUUCAGGCAAACUCUGCUCAGGUGUGUGCGAAUGGACUGUUGGGGCUUUAUGCAAAGUAGGCAAUACACAACGUUUCUCUCCAUCUUGUUUGCAUUGUAAAUACAAAGAGUGAGAGAGAAAAACUCUGCAUAUCAAUUUAGUAUAUUUUCCGACAUGAAGCGGUUUUUGGUUGUGUCUGCUUAUGAUUUGAAACAGGUCUGAAAUUAGAGAAAUUCAACAAUCACUAUAUAUACAUAUAUACAUUGUGAUUGCGGUCCUCCAGCCUGAGGACCGUCCCACUCUGGAGGAGAUCCUGUUACAUCUCUGGAUGAAGUCAGGGGUAAUGUGAUGUGUAAUUUCACUGUCAGUCCAGUGAUGCUCCAAUUCAAAGUUGACAUUCCUUUGGCAAUGACUCCAUCUAGUGGUGAAAUUGCUGAACUGCAUGCUCAGUCACACAUGGAAGAAAGCAUGUGCCUAAUUUUUGGACCAUUACUGAGCUUCCACUUGAGAAUACCUUUUUGACAUUUGGGACUUUUUGUAGUCAUAUUCUCAGCCUGCACAGAUGACAAGGAACAGAGAGAUAAACAUGUCUCUCAGUGAGUCAUAAAUUUUUCAUAUAUUUUAUAUUGUACAAAUAGUUCAUAAACAGUUACAUUUUUUCCUCAAUUUGAUUCAAAAGACAAAAUGAAACGAAAAGAAUAAAUUCAAAUAAAAAUAAAAAUGUAUAAAGCCAUUGAUUGAAUUGUCAGAUCCUGCUAUUUUCUGCUGGUCAAAAUCAGGGUGCGUUCAGGCAAAAUCAGUUUGAAAAAUAUAAGUCAGUGCAGUACUGUUUAAAUACAGGGAGUUUAUUGAAACACAAAGAACUUCAACAAAGCAACAGAGAAACUAAAAAGCUUGUUAUAUAUGCAUGUAUAUAUGAAAACACAGGUUUCUAGCUAUAGCACAAUUUCCCAUGGGGCAACACCUCGCACAUGUUUUGUAGCUGUACCAAAGAGGGACGAAAUAACAAAAGAAAAAAGAGAAACAUAUUUGUCAAGAAAUUUUACCCCCCCAAAAAAGUGGCAUUUAAAACAUGAUAUUCUACUGCCUUCUGGGGGAGGGAAGGAACAACGGUUUUUCUCCUUCUUGCCCCCCUCUGGUGUACAAUUUCUUUUUUUCCCCCCCUGUCCCGCUUGGAUCUUUAGCCAUCAGAAUUGUUGUCUUAAGGCCAAGAGAGAUGCCAAGCGGAUUUACUUUACCAACUGGAUCAUCAUGGCCUUGCCAUAUUGGUCCAUUUGAUUGACCUUUAUUAUAAUUGUGUAUUUUAUUUUAUUUUCAGUUGUUACAGUCGGGACAGACAUGACUGGGAGAUAGGACAGGGAGAAAGAAUGAAAGAAAGAGAGCGAGAGAAAGGAAAAAUUGAGGGGAGAAGAGAUGGCGAGAAAGGGGAGAAGAAAGAAAGAAAAACAAAACACCUGGCUCACCUGUAUGGAGAGAAAAAACAGAAGAGACAACAAACAAACAAACAAAAAAAACAAAAAACAGCUACAUAAUAAAUACAGCACCCUCUGGUGUACAAUUUCUUCCUUUUUCCUGUUUAAAAAGAGUUCACAUAUUUUGUCAUUUGACUGUAAGCAGUGCAUGGAGGAGAUGCUCGUUUUUUGCACGACGGUCUGCCACUUCAGCCUUCCCUUUCUUUAUAAGGCUGGAAAAGGCAGGGAGGGGCCUGAGGUGGGGUCUGAACUGUGGGCACCGGUAUGAGGAGAGAAGGGGGGCAGGACUGGAUGGUGGGUUAAGGUUAGGAUUUGGUUGGGGGUGGGGGAAAUGGGAUUGAAACCCCUCCCUGCCUGAGGAGGGGUCUGAACAGUGGGGUAGACUUUUGGAAUCUCAGCUGAAACCCACAUUUGCCAGGGUAAUCUGUCAUAACUGGAACAGUGGAGGCUGGAGGUGUAAUGCCGUCUUUUUUUAAAAUGUCAUUUGGAAGCUCAGAGAUUUUCAUCAAAGUUUUCAGCUAAUUGCUGCUCAUUGAUGAUCUGAAACAUCUCCAUGGUGUCAUCUGGCCUCCAGGUUUCAUCAUGACCCGUUGUACUGCUGUUCACAGUUGAGAUAGUGUCAAAACUGACAGAGAUUCAGUCACAGGUAGCUGUUCCCACAGCUCUUUAAAUGAAUUCUGGCUGAAGGGUAGAUUCUGAUUAAAAACCAAAAUGCCAUCCUGCCUCAGUUAAAAAGGUUCCUAAAACUGUACUGCCUGAUCAGUCACUGUACACUGACAUACUGUUGUGUUCAGUUAUGUUUUUCUGUUCUUUUCUUUUUUAAAACAUUUGCUUUUGAAAAAAAAAAAAAAAACCUAUGUUCCUAAUUUGGUUAGAGCCGUUCAAGCAGUAAGGGGCCUGAGGAGGGGUCUGAACUGUGGGCAGCGGUAUGAGGAGAGAAGGGGGCAGGACUUGAUGGUGGGUUAAGGUUGGGGGUGCGGGAAAUGGGAUUGAAACCCCUCCUUGCCUGAGGAGGGGUCUGAACCGAGUGGGGUAGAGGCUGGAGUGGAAAAUGGGUUAGGGUAGAAAGGGAAGGGUGAACUGCAAGACAGUCACACAAAACGCAAUCAUCUCCUUGCACUAAAGUGGCUGCAAUCAGCUGGAGGUCCAGGCUUCAGUGGAUGAGGGUACAGGUACUCAACAGGUACAGGGGGCAGCCACGGCAUGCCGGUCAUGGGCUGCCGAGGUAAAAGAGAGGAGGUGAGGAGGAGGGGUGAGUGGGGAGAAGGGAGGCUGAAAUAUUCACGUCCCCUCAUAGACACUCAAGUUUUAAAGUUUCCUUUUAAAUCUUUGAAAAAGAUUGAUGGAGUUUUAUUUGCGCCCUCAAACUUUACAACACAGACCAAACAUGGGCAUAUUAACCGGACCCUGGCACAAGAACUGCCAGACAGUCACCAAAAAGCAAUCAUCUCCUCCUUGCGAGAGAGGAGGUGAGGAGGAGGGGUGAGUGGGGAGAAGGGAGGCUGAAAUAUGAACAGGGAAAUGAAUUUAGACCCCUCCCUGCCUAAAGGGAGGGGCACAGGUAAGGAGGUGAGGACGAGGGGGGAGAGGGGAGAAGCGGAUUACCAUGGAGAGUAAAAAUGUCAGAGGGCAGGGCAGGAGGCAGCCCUCUGACUUUUUUUUUUUUUUUUUGCUUUACCAACUGAAAACUUUACUCUCCAUGGUAAUCCGCUGUUACCGGGACAGUGGAGGGUUGGGGUGUAAUGCCGUCUUUUUGCAAACUGUCCGUUGCCAGAUUUCUGCUAAUUGUUGGUCAUUGAUGAGCAACAUAUCGAUGGCGCUAUCUGUCCUCCAUAUCUCUUUCCUCUUCUGCUCAUCUCCUCUGCCCCGCAUGCCUUUUAGAUGCAUCCUACAAGUGUAGAGCAACACAUAAUCAGUUACUGCUCGUUAGGGUUUGUAAUAAAAAGUAUACUAAAAGACUGUUAGUUCAGUCUUUCCUGUUCUUGUCAUCUUCUCUGCUCCUCAUGAUAAAAGAUUUUUUUUAAAAAGUCUUACCUGUUUGUUUCCGACAUGAAGCGGUUUUUGGUUGUGUCUGCUUAUGAUUUGAAACAGGUCUGAAAUGAGAGAAACAGGAGAUUUUUCCUGGGGAAUUAUAAGACAGUGGCGUCCCGUUUUCCUUCUCAUUAAUCAUAUGAGAAGAAUGAAGGCGUUUUAAAGAUUUUUGAGUUGAGGUUAGUCCUUCUGCAGCUAUCAGUUUUCUAAAGACUUCGUCCUCCUCAUACUGCAGACUGUUUAGGAAACUUGGCUCAGAGCUGCUGAAGUUCUUGACUGUCGUACAUUUGUGGUUAGUCUGAUGAAACUCAUUUUCAGUGUACUGACUGAAAGUGAACAGGGUCCUGACUCCACGUCUGUGGUAGAGGUUGACUGUCAUCUUGUGUAAAGGUGGCAUCAGAGACCCUCCUCUUAUUCUGUGGUGGUUCACACUUUCCAGGCUUCUCUUCUUCAGAUUCACAGUAUACAUUUUGUAAAGUUGAAUGGUUUUCUGAAUGUGCCUGCCAUAAUUCUGUUUCCUUCUCAGUCACAUUUCUAAUUUUACACUCGUCAACUAAAACGGGCUCAAAGUCGGAGUUUUCAAGACCAACAAUCCGCCCUCGUUUUUUCCCUGACGCUGUGGCUGUCGGUGUAGCUGAGUCAGAUAAGAUAAGAUAAAACUUUAUUAAUCCCUCGGGUGGGUUCCUCUGGGAAAUUCGGUAUGAUGAUGAAAGAGGCUGCACUGAAUCCAUGUUUGGUGGCUCACAAGUGCACAUCUUAUUGAGAACUCUCCGAGGAGCUGUGAAAAAGGCAGAUAUGGAGCUCUGUUUUUUUGGCAUUUCUGUUUUGGUCUGAGUGAAGUUGAGUGCCACAGCCAAACUGUAUCCAGCACCUUCACAAAAGUGGUUCAGCAGUUUAGAAAUGGGUGUCAAAUGCAGUAUUUCUCUCCGAGCUGAGGGCCACGAGUCACCUUUCCGGCUCCAGAAGGUCCAAGCAGUAUGGCCCAAAUAACAAACAAAAACAUGAGUGCUGACAUAUGGCUGUAUGCAUGAAUAAAAAAAAAGAAGAAGAAAAGAAAUAACAUGCUGGUGCAAAAAUAUCCCAAACACAUUCCCAGAUUGCCUAACUUUUCAUCUCCAGGCUGCAUGAAUUUGAUUUAUGAGACUAGAAUUACAUUAAUAUAGGAUCCCAGUGUGUGCACUUCACAGCAGGCAGAGACAGCAACUUGGCCACAAAAUGGCAUAAGGGAUGGUUUCUUCAGGGGACAGACUGCAUGUUAUAAACUAAACCAUGAAAAUGUAGAGUUUCACCAUCGUUGACAGCAGUUUUGUCUUAAACUCAUAUAUUUUGCAGUGAUACUACACACCGAUAUAGUGUCACUAAAAAGGCACAAGGUACCAGAUCAUGUUGUUUUGUCAUGUUAGGCUUCUUCUAGUGUCGGCCUUCCUGUUGUUUGUGGUGGAAGAUGGGUGCCUUUGUUGACCUAGGAGGGAGAGCUGGAGGUGCUUGGUCCAUUUUAAUGCAGAAUAAAUACAUCACACAGUCAAAAAUGUGUUGAUCUCAAAUUCCAUCCAUCUUCUUCUGCUUCUCCAUGGCCCGGUCCCAGUGCCAGCAGUCCAAGAAAAAUUAAAGCAAGGACAAAAGGAAUGUGACACGUUCAGGUAGUCUGUUAUAAUGAUAACCCAGAGAUGUGCUCUUAACUCUGGUGGGAACUAACAGGUAUUCUGAAAUUGCCUACUUUUUUUUUUUCUUCUUUCUUUAAAUGCAAUUUAAGCUGGGCUACGUAAAAGAAUUUGCACACGCCAUGAUAACUCUCUGGAUUCCGGGUCCAUAAACAUCCCACAGUCAAAAAUGUGGUGUUCUGAAAUUGCCUUUAUAAAUAGAGACCAUUUUCAGACAUAGCAGUCUUGAAAAGCCAUGCCCUUCAUUUCUCCUCUGCAACCGUAACCCUGUGAUGGCAGCCUCUUCCCCUCUCUUUCUCUGUUCUCAGCUGAAGCUCCAUGUCCUAUUUCUUCAUGAAAACUGAAAUCUCUGUCAGAGUCAUGGAGAUCUUCUCUGCAGUCCCUGCAUCUUUUAUGGGAGCGCUUCUGAACUCCUCUCAGGCUCUUUUACUGGGUCUUGUGUGUCUUUGAGUCUCUGGUUUUUAAAUGCACAGAAUAAAAUACAAAAAAAAAAAAACUUGAAAGAGAUUUCCCUGGCAUGGAUUUUAUAGCAGAUAACCUUAAAAAUGUUCUGCAAUUAUACAAAAUUUGAAAAAGUUUACAUUUCUUCAGUAUUGAACUGCAGAAAAUAAGCCUUCUUGUCCGAGGUCAUUUAAGUACAAAGAAAAUAAAACACAGCGGCCGCCAGCGCUAUAAACAUCGGUAGACUGAUGGGUAAUAAGCGAAUGAACUAGAAAGCGAAAAUUUCAGAAGAAAUUUUAAGUGUGGCUAUGCCGCUGGUAAUCAGUGUAGUUUGCCAUUCAUACGGCUGCUUAGGGCAAAACUCAGAAGAGCAGCCAUUCUCCACCAUGAACUAUGGUAAAAACAAACACCGCUCACGCUUCACAGAUGACAGCUUACAGUUUUGUGUAAAGAUGAAGUUACUUCGUACCGCGCCGAUUUGCAGAUGCUGUGCACACAGGUUCAUGAGCAGAAGUCCCAUUGUACCACGGCAGACCCGACAAUGUUUGCACGAACACGCUUUGAAGCAUUAUGUUAUGGACCACUUUUCACACAUGGUUGGUUUACCCACACAGCCGGCUGUAGCUUUUCAACUUACAGCCCGACACACACCUUAAAAACAGCCGAGAGAGCACAGACUACGCCCGAGAGUCGUGAUUGCAGAUGCUGCUCAGGUGGGUCCACUUCCCCUGCAGCGGCACUGCAGACCACGCCCCGCCACACACAUCAAACACGUAAAAUAAAUAUUUAUGCACUUUUGCAUUCACUUUUUGGUUUUUGUUAUUUUUACACAGUGCUCUGAAUGAUGAACAAUGGUCUACAGCCAAUCUUGUGUAUUAUUAUACAAACUUUGGCUGUAAGAUUCAGAUAACUAUUUAAUAAAAGCUAAAUAUUUUAUAGCGCUAUAUAAAUCCAAUGCAUUAUUAUUAUUAUUAUUAUUAUGAUGAUGAGAGAAAGAAAUCAAAGUAUAACUUUGUGUCCACCUUUCCCUGUUAAUGCCCUACCUGGCCCCCUGGCAAAAGGGGGGCCAGCUAGCGGCGCUGUCGCUACCCGAUCCGUACCACAAACCCGAUCGGUACCCUGCAUGCGCAAAUCUUACGUCACUUCCUCUCUUUGCCAGCAUUGCGACAUUCAAUAUAUUUGAAUGAUACAGUUAGUGGGCAGCACGGUGGUUAGCACUGUUGCCGCACAGCAAGAAGGUCCUGAGUUCAAUUCCAACAUCAGGCCGGGGUCUUUCUGUGUGGAGUUUGCAUGUUCUCCCCGUGUUUGCGUGGGUUCUCUCCGGGUACUCCGGCUUCCUCCCACCGUCCAAAGACAUGCAACUUGUGGGGAUAGGUUAAUUGGAUAAACCAAAUUGCCACUAGGUGUGAAUGUGCGAGCGAAUGUGAGUGUGAAUGGUUGUCUGUCCUUGUGUGUUGGCCCUAUGACAGCUGGGAUAGGCUCCAGCGCCCCCCGCGACCCUGAAAAGGAGAAGCGGAAGCGAAUGGAUGGAUGGAUACAGUUAGCGCCCAGUUAGCUCCUAGCAUUUCUCAACAGCUCUGCCUCCUUUUCGACUACCGGGACAUUUAAACAAUGGAUAAUCCGUAUACAAACAAAUUCAUGCUUUUCUCCUCAACAGACAGCGUCCCCCGAUUGAACAAAAGCUCCGUAAAAUAAUAAGAAUGGCGCCUAAUUACAGACUUAAUAAUACAGACUUUGUAAUAGGUCACGUGAAGAUUCAUCAGCCAGAUUAAGUGUUUACUGACAAUUGACAGUGAUAGCGGACAUCAUCAUCACUAUUCCAAUCAAUCCUCUCCACACAGACAAGCAUAAACACACUUGACUAUCGCUAAAUCAAAUUUAACACGCAUUUGAAAUGACGCUAAUUCAGUUUAUAACAGGGUUCAUUCGCUCCGUCAGCAGGUGGCGGUAUCCUCGUACACUGGGGAGUAAACUGCCAUUAAACGAACAGAAGAAGAAGAAAACAUCUGCACAUGCGCGGUACGGAUCGGGUAGACCCGAUUUGUAAGGUCGGACUGUGCACAUGCGCAGUAAGGAUCGGGGAGUCCUGAUCCGUAACUAUCUUUCUAUUUUUCGUUUUUGUCUACAUUGUACUGAAAUGCUUCAUUAUUGCAAACGUUUGAAGAUAUACUUAUUAUUCUUAACAUCUUAACAGAUACUCUGACCCGUAACUAUCGUAAAACGCUUCGACCGGAAGUAGACACCUUUCGCGCAUGCGGGGUACCGAUCGGGUUAGCUAGCUAGCCGGCUAUCAGCAACAUCGUCAGAACACUGUUGCUAUUAUGGGAUGUUUUCACAAAACGAGCAGAUAUUUGAAGUCUACACACCUACAUUCUCGCCUGAAAAUAUCUUAAAAGUUUAUUUUGUGACCUAGAAACACUAAUAAAAUACAUUUAAAACGAAGAGGUGUCCGCCAUUGUUUAACUCGGCAGAGGUGUGCUAUGAAUUGUGGGAUAUGGAGUUUUCCGUUACCGUAACUAUUCAAUGGUUCGCGCAACCUUAAAACUUCCAAUGGUUCCUGAAAGCAGAGACGCUGUGCGCGCCAUUGAUAUUGUCGUCAUUACGGUAAUCCAAAUAAGGGUAGACAGGCCGUACCACUCCCGGCAUACCACUAGAGAGAGCCAACACACCACAAAUGAAGCCUUCCCAUUCAUUUCAAUGGGCAAAAACUUGCAUUAAAAUAUUCAUAUUUAAAAAAAACUAUAGAAGUAAUAAACACCAGAAGUAAUAAACACCAAAAGUCAUAGCACACCAUUCCUGAUUCAGCCGCACAAAAUGAUAUACCAUAUGUGAAGCUUGUCUCAAAACUGUGGAAUAGUAAUAAGUAUUUAAGUCUUACUCUCAACAAGCAGCGGCGCUGCCAUGGGCACUUCACCCGUGCCAAAGCGCUCACAGGCGGAGGAUAGUCCUCCCCCAGCUGCUAUCAGGGCAGGAGACGUUCACACCUAUGCCUCCAAACGGCAAAUGAAUCGCGCAAGAGCGAAGCCGCUGCUCCCGCACUGACUGUAACGCAGUCGUGCCAAUUUCGGGUCACUCUUGCCGGUCCAAACCCGGAUAAAGGAGCAGGGUUGGAAUUGUGACAUUAAAAAACAAUUAUUACUAAAAGAAAUUUAAUUUGUAGUUCUAAAUAAAUUCUAACUGCAUUUAGGACGUUUUUUACUCACUUUAUGUCUCUUCCACGAUGUUACUUCUCUCUCCAACAACGUAGGUUACAAUUACAUCAGCG